UACGGAGGGUGCUAGCGUUGUUCGGAAUUAUUGGGCGUAAAGGGCAAGUAGGUGGUCUUCCAAGUCUACUGUGAAAUCCCUGGGCUUAACCCAGGAAGUGCGGUGGAUACUGGAAGACUGGAGUACCGGAAGGGUGCGUAGAAUUCUCGGUGUAGCGGUGAAAUGCGUAGAUAUCAGGAGGAACACCGAUGGCGAAGGCAGGUCUCUGGGCCACUACUGACGCUGAGAAGCGAAAGCAUGGGAGCGAACAGG
rnacentral:rRNA from 1 species